UACGUAGGGUGCAAGCGUUAAUCGGAAUUACUGGGCGUAAAGCGUGCGCAGGCGGUUCGGAAAGAGAGGUGUGAAAUCCCAGGGCUUAACCUUGGAACUGCACUUUUAACUACCGGGCUAGAGUACGUCAGAGGGGGGUAGAAUUCCACGUGUAGCAGUGAAAUGCGUAGAGAUGUGGAGGAAUACCGAUGGCGAAGGCAGCCCCCUGGGAUAAUACUGACGCUCAUGCACGAAAGCGUGGGGAGCAAACAGG
rnacentral:rRNA from 1 species